CAGAAAAAAGUCCAGUUGACAUGAUGAGAUAAAUGACUCAGCAUGGAUGUUUUUGCUUACAUGUGAAUGAUUAUAUCACUGACUAACUCUUCUUUUCUUCUGGUUUGGACCUGAUGUUUGUAUAAAUACCUGCUGUCACGAUUGCAACUCCACUUGUGUUUCUAACCAGUGACGACAACAACAUUUCUAAGAUGAUCGUGGAGAAACUUCUCCUCACCAUCUACAGCUUGGUGAUUCUGAGUGUCUGCAACCUCGGUCAAGCUUCCCCAGAAAAAGAUCCAAACAAAAAGGAUCCUGAGGUCCGUAAAUCAUUGGAAAAGCGCAAUUUGAGAGACUACAACUAUUAUCAUCAUGGAUAUGAUCACCACUAUCCACCUGUGCUUAUGGGACCACCUGGACCGCCUGGAUCAUU